rnacentral:rRNA from 1 species
AGAGUUUGAUCCUGGAUCAGAACGAACGCUGGCGGCGUGCCUAACACAUGCAAGUCGAACGGAGAUAAGGGGCUUGCUCCUUAUUUUAGUGGCGCACGGGUGAGUAACGCGUGGAUAAUCUACCUUGGAAUCUGGGAUAACAUUUCGAAAGGGGUGCUAAUACCGGAUAAGACCACGAGCUCUUUGGAGUUUGCGGUAAAAGGGGGCCUCUGUAUAUGCUUCUGUUUCAAGAUGAGUCCGCGUACCAUUAGCUAGUUGGCAGGGUAAUGGCCUACCAAGGCGACGAUGGUUAGCUGGUCUGAGAGGAUGAUCAGCCACACUGGAACUGAGACACGGUCCAGACUCCUACGGGAGGCAGCAGUGGGGAAUUUUGCGCAAUGGGGGAAACCCUGACGCAGCAACGCCGCGUGAGUGAUGAAGGCCUUCGGGUCGUAAAACUCUGUCAGAGGGAAAGAAGUGUAUGGCGGU